rnacentral:rRNA from 1 species
ACGGGGUGCAGCAGGCGCGAAACCUCCGCAAUACACGAAAGUGUGACGGGGUUACCCAAAGUGUUCAAUUUUGAACUGUGGUAGGUGAGUAAUGUUCCCUACUAGAAAGGAGAGGGCAAGGCUGGUGCCAGCCGCCGCGGUAAAACCAGCUCUUCAAGUGGUCGGGAUAAUUAUUGGGCUUAAAGUGUCCGUAGCCGGUUUAGUAAGUUCCUGGUAAAAUCGGGUAGCUUAACUAUCUAUAUGCUAGGAAUACUACUAUACUAGAGGGCGGGAGAGGUCUGAGGUACUACAGGGGUAGGGGUGAAAUCUUAUAAUCCUUGUUGGACCACCAGUGGCGAAGGCGUCAGACUGGAACGCGCCUGACGGUGAGGGACGAAAGCCAGGGGAGCGAACCGGAUUAGAUACCCGGGUAGUCCUGGCCGUAAACGAUGCAUACUAGGUGAUGGCACGGCCAUGAGCCGUGUCAGUGCCGUAGGGAAACCGUUAAGUGUGCCGCCUGGGAAGUACGGUCGCAAGGCUAAAACUUAAAGGAAUUGGCGGGGGAGCACCACAAGGGGUGAAGCCUGCGGUUCAAUUGGACUCAACGCCGGAAAACUUACCAGGGGAGACAGCAGUAUGACGGUCAGGUUGACGACCUUACCUAACGAGCUGAGAGGAGGUGCAUGGCCGUCGCCAGUUCGUGCCGUGAGGUAUCCUGUUAAGUCAGGCAACGAACGAGAUCCGCACCUUUAUUUGCCAC